rnacentral:lncRNA from 13 species
AUGAGUGUUCUUUUAAAUCACGCUGGGAUUUGCAGUCUUUUUGACGUCUUACUCCCUCUGCAGAAGACCACCUCCAUUUUUCUCACCACCUGCAGCCCCUCCCGAGAGAUGAGGUCUUGCUGCAUUUCCCAGGCUGGUCUCAAGCAAUCCUCCCGCCUCAGCCUCCUGAAGUACUGAGAUUACAGGUGUGAGCUGAGCCACUGUUGCCUUUUUAAAGAAGGGACAAAAAGGUAUCCUUUUAAAAUGUUCUUCUUUCUACUGUUUAAGAACAUAAUUUAUUUGGUUACAAAGUAUGAAAUGUCCCUCCUCCCAGUCUCCCAAACUCCCGACAGAAGUAUUUCUGAGUAGUAUGAACUCUGUAUAAAUCGCCUUUGAUGAGGAAAAUGGUACACAGAAGGUAAGCAGCGAAUAGGACAAUACAUACGCACAAUGUGCUGUGUGUGAAGUAAAAUAACGAGGAGGAGGAGGAGGAACAGGAAGAGAAAGGGGAGGGGGAGGAAGAGGAGGAGGGCAGGAGGAAAGAGAGGAAGACAUAAUAAUGUUAGCAAACAGCAAACACAUUCCCUUGAAAAAAGGCAAAAAUAAAGCAAAACAAAAACAAAAAGUCUAUUAAUGG